AAAAUAUGUCAAUUUUCUUCCUGUUUAAAGCUUUUAACUAACAUUGAUUAUCAGCUGUUUUGUACGGAAAACGUGGACUCUAAAUAAUAUACCGUUUCCCUGCUCUGCUGCUAUUGGCAAUACAUUUUUGUCAUGUCAUCUGCAACAGACGAUCAUACAUAUGUGGCGGAUUAUCGAUAUAGAUACAGCUAGGUAGCAAUAGCAGUAGAAGCCCGGAUUUGCAAGCAAAAUGAGGGAAAGAGGAUUCUGAAAAGGAGCAUGUUUUUCAUUUCCACACAUGCAUGUGUAUCACUAUGGACAUCUAAUGUAUGUAUUAAUAUGCGUAUGGUUGUUGUUUAUAAUUGCUAUUGUAUAUAAAAAAGUAAAAGGCAAUUUAUAAUAUAAUUAACUACUAAUAUUUUGUUCUGAAGAGUUAAAAAUAUAUAUAAUGCAUUCAUCAAUAAUAUAAUUUUUCAGCUUCAAACAUUAUCAUAAGCACUACUUAUCUUAUAUCUACAUAUUUAGCAUAGACUUGUUCCUUUUUUAAUUUUUCUUCGUGAUUUUUGUUAAUUAAAAAAUUGAUCCCAAGAUAUUUGAGACCAUGUAAAAUAAAGAAAGACAACUCUUAAACAGGAUCUUUCAUACCAAGAUUUUUGCAAUAAUUAAGUAUUUCCUUUAAUUUUUCAAUUUCUUUCAAUUUCUUUUCUUUAUCCCAUUCACCAACGAAUAUUGUUUAUAUUUUCAGGUUUUUGUGGGAUUUUGUCCAGCAGUUUGCCUUAACAGAAUUUUUUUAUAUUUUAGUUUCAUAUUUAUGUGGAUUCCAAUAAAAAUCAUACAAACUUC
rnacentral:sRNA from 1 species